rfam:Carnobacterium maltaromaticum LMA28 complete genome
AGUGUUACCAGUUAGGUGAGGCUCCUAUGCAAAUAUAGGCCAUUGCCCAAAAACAUCGAAAGAUGCCAAUGGGUAGAACAGGGAUUGUCGGAUUAAGGCUUUCCAUAAGAUGGCUAAAAGUAGAAUGAUACUUUUUACGUUGCAUAGUGCUAAAACUCGACGAGUGGUAGAUUU